GGCGCCACCGGAAAAAGAAAUUCCCGGGCCCUGGCUUCUUGGCCUGAUGGUGAGGCACCAGAGGCACUGCUAGCCUUGAAGCCUCCAGCCUGCUGGAUGCCUCCAUCCCCGGCUAUGCUGUGGCUCUCCUCAUUCUAGGCCUCCUGCUCGUCACAUUCACCCUUGUCCUGGUGCUAAAGUGGAGGGCCUCCCAUGGGGUGUUCAGCCUGGGUGUGUAGAAGCACACAGUGUGGUACAGAGGACCCUCUCCAGACAGGUGACCCCUCAUGCUGCUGCUCCCUCUGCUGAAACCCAAACUGCAAACCUCUCCUCUCCCUGCCUUCACCUUGCCCCACGGCUUCCACAGACAGUGCCUCAACCCCGAGGAAUGAAUCCGAAGUUCCAACACCACUGACUUUCCCAGGAACUCAGAGCCAGAGAGGGCCAAGGACCAGCUCGAGGACACACAGCCAGGGCUUCUUCCCUCCGAAACCCCCAAGGACUGGACUUGCAGGGCUGGGACAGAGGUGGGGUGGGGGAAAGCAAUGCCUUGUCAACCCACGUGGGGAGCCCCACUCCCAUCCCCAAGGUGCAUAAAGUUGAGGAACACCCCUGC
rnacentral:lncRNA from 1 species